GACGAAGGGGGCUAGCGUUGUUCGGAAUUACUGGGCGUAAAGCGCGUGUAGGCGGUUUUCCAAGUUGGGUGUGAAAGCCUUAGGCUUAACCCAAGAAAUGCACUCAGUACUGGAAGACUAGAGGACCGGAGAGGAUAGUGGAAUUCCCAGUGUAGUGGUGAAAUACGUAGAGAUUGGGAAGAACACCAGUGGCGAAGGCGGCUAUCUGGACGGUUUCUGACGCUAAGACGCGAAAGCGUGGGGAGCAAACAGG
rnacentral:rRNA from 1 species